rnacentral:rRNA from 1 species
AGCACCGAAUCCUUCACCAUCUCGGUGACAGGAAAUGUGGUGUUUAGGCCGUACCUUGUCCCGACACGUCUCUCCUCAAGUCCACUUGAUUGUGGCCCCAGGCCCAGAGAGGGUGUAAGGCCCGUGGAGGCGAGACGUUCGGUACCUGGUGCGUCCUUAGAGUCGGGUUGUUUGGGAAUGCAGCCCUAAGCGGGUGGUAAACUCCAUCCAAGGCUAAAUACCAGCACGAGUCCGAUAGCGAAGAAGUACCGCGAGGGAAGGUUGAAAAGAACUUUGAAGAGAGAGUUCAAGAGUACGUGAAACCGCUGAGAGGCAAACUGGUGGAACUGAAAUGGUCCCGAGGAAUUCAGCCGUUGGUCGUUGCACAGUCUUUGGUGAUUGAUCUAACGACGGCGCCAUUGAAUGACGUUUCGAUCAUCGGUGCACUUUCCUCGCCUGGGCCCGACCACGACCGGUGAGCUGAUCUGUCUGUCGUGCUUGGAAGAUAGCGCCGUCUUCGGAAGGCGUGUUAUAGACAGGCAUACGGAGCAGUCGGCGCACUGGAUGAUAGUGCCUGCCCAUCUGGGCUCAUAUGGUGGUUGUUUUGUUGGCGAGUUCUGAUGUCACUACUUCGGUAGAGUCGUUAGACUCUGUUGGCAUUAUGGCUGUCCUCUAUGAUUGGCACUGUUAAGUCUGUGGUUGUGAAGUAGGUAGUCCACCUGACCCGUCUUGAAACACGGACCAAGGAGUCUAACAUGUGCGCGAGUCAUUGGGUUCACGAAACCUAAAGGCGCAGUGAAGGUAAAGAUCUGUUUUGGCAGAUUGAGGUGGGAUGCCGGGUUACGCGCCCGGCCGCACUACCGGCCCGUUCUAUAUGUCUUUCAUAGGAGCGGAGCAAGAGCGUACACGUUGGGACCCGAAAGAUGGUGAACUAUGCUUGCGCAGGUCGAAGCCAGAG